GACGAACGCUGGCGGCGUGCUUAACACAUGCAAGUCGAACGGAAAGGCCCUGCUUGCAGGGUACUCGAGUGGCGAACGGGUGAGUAACACGUGGGUGAUCUGCCCUGCACUUCGGGAUAAGCCUGGGAAACUGGGUCUAAUACCGGCUAGGAGCCAUUUUUAGUGUGAUGGUUGGAAAGUUUUUUCGGUGUAGGAUGAGCUCGCGGCCUAUCAGCUUGUUGGUGGGGUAAUGGCCUACCAAGGCGGCGACGGGUAGCCGGCCUGGGAGGGUGGACGGCCACCUGGGGACUAGGAUAGGGCCCAGACGCCAACGGGAGGCAGAGGGGGGGAAUAUGGCAAAAUGGGGGCAAGCCUGAGGCAGCGACCCCGGGUGGGGGAUGACGGCCUUCGGGUGGUAAACUCCUUUCGCAGGGGCGGAGGCUUUUGUGACGGUACCUAGAUAAGAAGCACCGGCUAACUACGUG
rnacentral:rRNA from 1 species